AUUGAAUGUAUACAGUCCAUUCCGGAUAAUCAUGUUCUUAUCCUAUAUAGAUUCAAAUAUAAAGAUAAAAUAGCCAUCGUCAUGUAGUAGUAUCAUCGGUGUAGCCACUUAAUUCCAUACUCCAUAGAAAAACUUGAGCAUCUCUUUGAAUGUUGUAUUGCCCCAACAUUUUUCCAUUAUUAGCAUUGACUCUCCACUUCAUAUAGGUUCAAUUAAACCAGUUUCACUCCAUCAUUGAUCACUGGUGUGUAGAACUUCAAUUGUAUUCCUUGGUCCUUUAUUCGAUUGCCUUUGACCACCUUUGUCAUAGAUCUAGCUAGUACUCCUGUUGAGUAGGUCAGUUUGCACGUUGCAGUUGUCAUUCCUAAUUCCGGCGGGAAUGAGGUUUCUGUUAGAAUUGUAGUAAUUCCCCUCACCGGUGGUUGAGAAUCAUUCAUUGCUGCCGUUUGCAUGAUUGUUGGUGCACCUCCAUCCCCGACAACCAACUGAUAAGUUGUCGAGGACCUAAUUGUUGUUCAAUUUUGAAUUUUAGUGUCACCAAUCAACUAGUCGAUCCCUCAAUUUGUUCUGUAGAGCUCUUUGUCAUCAAAGCUUGUCUUUGAUGGCAGUUGGCAUACGUUAGCGAUCCUGCUUAACGUGCGCCUUCAGACAGAAAACUCAUCAACCACGUUUUUUAAAUCUCUUUUAGUCAAUUUAGUUGUGUA
rnacentral:lncRNA from 1 species